rnacentral:rRNA from 1 species
UACGUAGGGUGCAAGCGUUAAUCGGAAUUACUGGGCGUAAAGCGUGCGCAGGCGGUUCGCUAAGACAGAUGUGAAAUCCCCGGGCUUAACCUGGGAACUGCAUUUGUGACUGGCGGGCUAGAGUAUGGCAGAGGGGGGUAGAAGUUCCACGUGUAGCAGUGAAAUGCGUAGAGAUGUGGAGGAAUACCGAUGGCGAAGGCAGCCCCCUGGGCCAAUACUGACGCUCAUGCAC